rnacentral:rRNA from 1 species
UACGAAGGGGGCUAGCGUUGCUCGGAAUCACUGGGCGUAAAGCGCACGUAGGCGGCUUUCUAAGUCAGGGGUGAAAUCCUGGAGCUCAACUCCAGAACUGCCUUUGAUACUGGGAAGCUCGAGUCCGGAAGAGGUGAGUGGAACUCCGAGUGUAGAGGUGGAAUUCGUAGAUAUUCGGAAGAACACCAGUGGCGAAGGCGGCUCACUGGUCCGGUACUGACGCUGAGGUGCGAAAGCGUGGGGAGCAAACAGG